CUGAGAGGGCCCCGGAAAACUCCCUUGAUGUUGCGAAAGUGUCCGUUGCUGAGAUGCGUGGAGCUGAUGACAAUGUAGUAACACUCCAUGGGGCAGCCGCCGCCUCCUCCGCCGCAGCCGCCGCUUCCACGCACCCCGCGCCCACAGCCGCAGCGCGCCGGGGCCGGCGACGGUGGGCUGGGAACCCGCCACGAGGGCACGCAGCCACCCCCGGCACGUCCUCUGGAGACUGGCUCACUGCACCCCUCUGUGGUGAGCGCCGAGGCUCCCCCGCCUCCGCAUGCUCGCCGCGCUCUCCCCUCAGUCUCUCGCUCCUGUUUCUCCUCAGAUUCGCGUCGGGACGACGAGCCCCGCGGGAGGAUUCCAGCCUAGGAGGGGGCCGGGCCGGCGAAACGGAACCGAGCGGGAGUCAGUGCCCGCGCGGUGGCCGGGCGGAGCGGGGCUGCGGGAGCCGCCCGCGCGGCAGCAGAAGCGGCGGCGGCGGCAGCAUCCCCCGCGCUCGGCGCCUGCACUCGGAGUUGCUGCUGCUGGCAGGCAUGAGUGUUAUUAUAGUGAGCGGCGUUGCCGGUCCAUUGCACUGAGCCAAUGGCAGGGAGCCACUGGGCUGAUACUGAGAGCUGUCAGAGGAGUACAUCUGUCACCCGCUGCCUCCCCCGCCCACCCCGCCGCCGGGACCCGCGGCCGCGCCAGCCCGAGCGCGAGUGGGAGCGCCCCGCGCGGCGCCGCUGCCGCAGAGGGCCGGGGACGCGACGGCCACCGCCAAGUGGGAGACUCCUGGAAGGAUAAAGCUCAAUAUCCAGUUCAGGAAAUGGGAAACACUGAUAUAUGACUCAUCCCAUGGAACAGAAUAUAGUCUACGUGGAAUGUCACACUGUGCUUCUAGUGGCAAAGUUUGCAUAUAUGUAUGUAUCAGUGUAUCUUUAAAUUUGCCUUUGUGUUGC
rnacentral:lncRNA from 1 species